UCCCUAGUAGCUCAGAGGGUAAAGCUACUGCCUGCAACGCAGGAGACCUGGGUUCAAUCCCUGGGUCAGGAA
rfam:TPA: Bos taurus chromosome 18, whole genome shotgun sequence.